rnacentral:lncRNA from 1 species
CGAAUUGGAUGAUCGGGCCGAGGGCUGCCCCCUCUUCCCCUCACUCUCCUUUCCCUAAUAUGAACCUUGAGUCAUCAAAGCCUUUCUGACUCGGCCUGGCCCGGGAAAGCAAAUACUACUCCGAUUGAGCCCACUUUAUUCUAGUACUAGUUAGUAUAAUUAUAAGAAAAUGGAAUAAUAAUAAAUAUUAGUAAUAAUAAUCAUAAGAAUAGUCUCUGUCGAGCCUUAUUUAGACGCGAGCCUCUCCUGUCUAGUCGACCUCACUACCGCAUCGCUUGACCUUCUUGAUCGCCAUCGCCAGGUUGAAAAGCAGCAAAGAGAGUUUCCGCCGGGAAGGGGCACCUGUCCUUUUGCAUAUAGCACUCCAUCCUCUCCCCUGGG